GGUGCCAUCAGAGGCCUGGGUGGUCUGACCACCCCAGGUUCUGAUUAAAGGCCACCCAGGGAGAUGCCAGCCACGUGGCAGUGAACCUGCUGCGAUGCUACAGCCUACCUGUUCUCCCCAGCUUCUGUCUCCAGCCACCCCUCCCCAGCAUCUACUACUGACCCCCCCGGGUUAAGCUCUUCACACAGGUUUAUAGGAAUCUAUCUCCUUUCUCCGCUGCCCGAGAGGCAGUCUCCCCGGCUCCCAGAACUCUGAGGUCAGCUCAAUUCCGUCUCCUCCCAGGAGGCCUCCCCAGUCAGUGUACUUGUCACUCAUCACGGACUAUUUUUGUAUUGACCCUCAAGGGCUAUCCGGUGAGUCACCUUCCUUCCUGAGCAGCAGGGACCCCUCCGUGUGAGCCAGGCACAAAGCAGGCACUCGCUGAGCAGCUGUGAGACCUUCAGGCCUGAUCUAAGAGCACCCUCCAAACCCACCUGGCAUGAAGGAGGAAAUGAAGCAUGAGGAGCUGGAUCAAACUGUUGGGGCAAAGCACUGCAGGAGAGACCAUCAACUACAGGAACUGACAGGGGAAAAAGGGAAUAAGAACCGACUCAGAAGCAGGAAUUCUGAGCUAGAAGAGAACCACUUUAUAACCAGCUUAGAAGACCUGGAUGGAACUGGAAAGACAGGCACGAGGAACUCAUUGUCACGGGACAAAUGAACUACUUCCUUCAGCAGAGAGGAACCAGCAGGCCCAGAGGUGAAUGCUACGUGGAUUUAAACUACAGCUAACAUGAAUAGUCACUGGGAUCAGCUAAAUUAAUACAAUCUCCCGUUUAAUACCAUUAGUUUUUAGAGGACCAGAAAGAGCUCCUUCUCACUUAAUCUUUAUAGGCCUCGCACUUGAUCCAGCCACAUGUGUAGUUCUUAAGAAGGGACUCUGAGCUGCCAUUGCCUCCCUGAGGGAUCCUUUCCUGACCUCUUCUUUCACCUUACUCCUAGCUCAUCACUCCUGGCUGGGCCAGAGUACCUUUGGUUCCAUGCUCUUACCACAUACAUGUUUACCUGUAUCUCCUCUCUGAGCUGGGAACUCUUUUAGAGCAGGGAUUAAGUCUGUUUUCUCUCUGCCUCCCCAGAGUCCAGUAUAGGAUCUAGCACAGAGUAAGUAUUUGAUAAAUGUUUGAUGAUCUGAACCAAAACAACUGGGCUGAAUUCUUCAAAAUGCCAAUGUCAUAUCAUGGAAGGUAGAUAAAAAAGGCUGGAAAACUGCUCUAGAUAAAAGAAGACUAAAGAAACAGGAUAACUAAAUGCAGUGGAUCACCCUUCACUGGAUCUUGGAUUAGGAAAAAAAAAAGCUACAAAGAACAUUA